UACGUAGGGGGCAAGCGUUGUCCGGAAUCAUUGGGCGUAAAGCGCGUGUAGGCGGUUCGGUAAGUCUGCUGUGAAAGUCCAGGGCUCAACCCUGGGAUGCCGGUGGAUACUGUCGGGCUAGAGUACGGAAGAGGCGAGUGGAAUUCCCGGUGUAGCGGUGAAAUGCGCAGAUAUCAGGAAGAACACCAACGGCGAAGGCAGCUCGCUGGGACGGUACUGACGCUGAGACGCGAAAGCGUGGGGAGCGAACAGG
rnacentral:rRNA from 1 species